CUGAUGGGAGUAGGGCAGCCAAGGAGCCCUGACCCUGCGACCCAAAGCAUGGCUCCCUCGUCGAAAUAAAAGCAAACAACGUGCAAGUCUCACUAGCAAUUACUGUAUCAUUACGAUCUUCCAUGAAGGGUGGUCAGCGAGAGGGACGCAAUGACAAGAGCCAAGAGCACGAGGUUGUCUCAGUCAUGAGACAUCACCGUGGCCUGAACGGGACCUGAAUCAGCGGGGUCAUAGCUGGAACAGGAGAAUUUCCCUGGUCAGAUGAGGCAGGACCCGUCUUUAUUAAGAACACAUGACAUGGCUGAGCACAGAAAAGAUUUCAGAUCUCUGGAGACCAGAAGGACCACCUCUUCAGGGGGAAUAGGGCCUUGGGAGGAACUUCGGAGCGGUCUCCACGGACUCGGCGCUAUGAAAGUAUUUCUCCUCCUCAUCUUCGUCGUCCUCUUCAUCUCUCACACAAUGCCAG